rnacentral:lncRNA from 1 species
UGGACUAUUACUUUUUAAAACUUGUCUUUAAAACUACCAGACUUAACCUUUAAAACAUUGUACUAUAGGUCCAAUCAUAUGAACCAAAUGUUCAGACAUACUAAUCUGAACUAGCCCUCAGGGCUAUCUGUAAUAAACCAGUGAUACUCUACCAAGUAACCUCCAUGCACUAUGCUCUGAAACAUAGAACCCACCCUGUAGGGUCAGCAUAUCAUAAGUUAACUUGGCUACCAUAGAGUCACAGGAAUCAAACCUGGUCUUCUCUAUUGGCCUCUCUAUGGAUCACAGGAAUCAAACCUGGUCUUUCCUCCGCACUGGUCUUGGGUCAAAGGAAGUAAUCCCUGUCUUCCCUCA